AGUGAACGCUGGCGGUAGGCCUAACACAUGCAAGUCGAACGGCAGCACAGUAAGAGCUUGCUCUUACGGGUGGCGAGUGGCGGACGGGUGAGGAAUACAUCGGAAUCUACUUUUUCGUGGGGGAUAAUGUAGGGAAACUUACGCUAAUACCGCAUACGACCUACGGGUGAAAGCAGGGGAUCUUCGGACCUUGCGCGAUUGAAUGAGCCGAUGUCGGAUUAGCUAGUUGGCGGGGUAAAGGCCCACCAAGGCGACGAUCCGUAGCUGGUCUGAGAGGAUGAUCAGCCACACUGGAACUGAGACACGGUCCAGACUCCUACGGGAGGCGGCAGUGGGGAAUAUUGGACAGUGGGCGCAAGCCUGAUCCAGCCAUACCGCGUGGGUGAAGAAGGCCUUCGGGUUGUAAAGCCCUUUUGUUGGGAAAGAAAAGCAGCAGGUUAAUACCCCGCUGUUCUGACGGUACCCAAAGAAUAAGCACCGGCUAACUUCGUG
rnacentral:rRNA from 1 species